rnacentral:rRNA from 1 species
CAGCCGCCACGGGAAUACGGAGGGCGCAAGCGUUAAUCGGAAUUACUGGGCGUAAAGCGCACGCAGGCGGUUUGUUAAGUCAGAUGUGAAAUCCCCGAGCUUAACUUGGGAACUGCAUUUGAAACUGGCAAGCUAGAGUCUUGUAGAGGGGGGUAGAAUUCCAGGUGUAGCGGUGAAAUGCGUAGAGAUCUGGAGGAAUACCGGUGGCGAAGGCGGCCCCCUGGACAAAGACUGACGCUCAGGUGCGAAAGCGUGGGGAGCAAACAGGAUUAGAGACCCCUGUAGUCCCUGUCUCUUAUAC